CCUACGGGUGGCAGCAGUGGGGAAUCUUUCACAAUGGGGGAAAGCCUGAUGGAGCGACGCCGCGUGCAUGAUGAAGUCUUUCGGUAUGUAAACCGCUAUCAUCAGGGAAGAAAAUGACGGUAACUUACUAAUAAGCCCCGGCUAACUACGUGCCAGCAGCCGCGGUCAUACGUAGGGGGCGAGCGUUAUCCGGAUUUACUGGGUGUAAAGUGUGCGAAGACGGAUGUGCAAGACCGGUGGGAAACGCGGGGGUCAAACACUCAGACUACUAUGGAAACUGUAAAGCUGGAGUGCAUGAGAGGUAAGUGGAAUUCCUAGUGUAGGAGUGAAAUGCGUAGAUAGUAGGAGGAACACCAGUGGCGAAGGCGGGUUACUGGAAUGGAACUGACGCUGAGGCACGAAAGCGUGGGGAGCAAACAGGAUUAGAUACCCUGGUAGUC
rnacentral:rRNA from 1 species